rnacentral:snRNA from 13 species
GUAUUUACCUGUCGGGGAAAACACCAAGAUCACAAAGGUGGUUUUCCCAGGGCAAGGUUCGUCCAUUGCACUCCAGAUGUGCUGACCCCUGCGAUUUCUUCAUAUGUGGGGAACUGCACUCACACUCUCCCCAG